UACGUAGGGGGGCGAGCGUUGUCCGGAAUUAUUGGGCGUAAAGAGCGUGUAGGCGGUCCGGUAAGUCCGCUGUGAAAGUCCAGGGCUCAACCCUGGAAUGCCGGUGGAUACUGCCGGGCUAGAGUCCGGAAGAGGCGAGUGGAAUUCCUGGUGUAGCGGUGAAAUGCGCAGAUAUCAGGAGGAACACCGAUGGCGAAGGCAGCUCGCUGGGACGGUACUGACGCUGAGACGCGAAAGCGUGGGGAGCAAACAGG
rnacentral:rRNA from 1 species